GCUUGCUCCAAUUUAGUUAGCGGCGGACGGGUGAGUAACACGUGGGCAAUCUGCCCGUAAGACUGGGAUAACUCCGGGAAACCGGGGCUAAUACCGGAUAAUCCCGACUCUCUCCUGAGAGUCGGUUGAAAGAUGGUUUCGGCUAUCACUUACGGAUGAGCCCGCGGCGCAUUAGCUAGUUGGUGAGGUAAUGGCUCACCAAGGCGACGAUGCGUAGCCGACCUGAGAGGGUGAUCGGCCACACUGGGACUGAGACACGGCCCAGACUCCUACGGGAGGCAGCAGUAGGGAAUCUUCCGCAAUGGACGAAAGUCUGACGGAGCAACGCCGCGUGAGUGAUGAAGGUUUUCGGAUCGUAAAACUCUGUUGUUAGGGAAGAACACGUACGAGAGUAACUGCUCGUACCUUGACGGUACCUAACCAGAAAGCCACGGCUAACUACGUGCCAGCAGCCGCGGUAAUACGUAGGUGGCAAGCGUUGUCCGGAAUUAUUGGGCGUAAAGCGCGCGCAGGUGGUUCCUUAAGUCUGAUGUG
rnacentral:rRNA from 1 species